GCGGCUGUGGUGAAAUUGGUAUACACGCUGGCUUCAGGUGCCAGUGGGCUUUACGCCCGUGGAGGUUCGAGUCCUCUCAGCCGCA
rnacentral:tRNA from 3 species